AGUGAACGCUGGCGGCGUGCUUAACACAUGCAAGUCGAACGAGAACGGGUUAUAGCUUGCUAUAAUUGUCAGCUAAGUGGCGCACGGGUGAGUAAUGUAUAGGUAAUAUGCCUCUUACUAAGGGAUAACAAAUGGAAACGUUUGCUAAUACCUUAUACUCCUUAUUAACAGAAGUUAAUAAGGGAAAGAUUUAUUGGUAAGAGAUUAGCCUGUAUUGUAUCAGUUAGUUGGUGGGGUAAUGGCCUACCAAGACUAUGACACAUAACUGGUUUGAGAGGAUGAUCAGUCACACUGGAACUGAGACACGGUCCAGACUCCUACGGGAGGCAGCAGUGGGGAAUAUUGCACAAUGGACGAAAGUCUGAUGCAGCAACGCCGCGUGGAGGAUGACACAUUUCGGUGCGUAAACUCCUUUUAUAUGAGAAGAUAAUGACGGUAUUAUAUGAAUAAGCACCGGCUAACUCCGUGCCAGCAGCCGCAGUAAGAC
rnacentral:rRNA from 1 species